UCUAUUAUAAGAGUAGGGUGUGCAUCAAGAUAAGAUCUAUUGAUCCUAGACAGAAGAAAGUAGUCCUAUGAGAUUUAAGAAACUGAAUCUUUAAGUCUAUGGCCAUAGUAGUGUGAUUGAUAGAAAAGAGUUUUCAUAGAAUCAUAUAUGGACUCGAGCUGAUUGAAUCUAUCAUAUGAUCGAUGAUGAGGUUUAACGAUUCAUCCACAACCUGCCAU
rnacentral:lncRNA from 1 species